GAAAAGUGAAAACACUAAUCUGACCAAUAAAUGUCACUAUCCAAAUACGUAAGGCAAGGUUAAUAAAAAAACAUGUAUCUAUCAACUACUGUUUUGCACCAGAAUCUAGAAACUCAAUUUACCAAAUGAAAGAAUCUAGAACUCACUAGCUAGAGAAUACCUCUUUUGUCGUUUCCUUAUAUCAUUAAAGAUCAGAUUCACUCAAAGUGAAUGGUUCCCAUAUACGAACAUAGAGUGAGCUCUAAUAUGAUACUUAAGAUAGCUUCCAAAGACCAUGACUUACAUUUAAAUUGACAGAAUUGGGGGUCUGGCUCCGUGCAUAAAAGUCCUCUAGAUUGAACAAACUUACCGCUUAGUCCAAAGCUUAAUCUUGUAGUGUCAUUUUUAGACAAUUUAUUCUCCAUUUUGAUCUCUAAUUUAAUUUUAUCUUUGUUGCCAUUCCUUUGAUUGGUCAACACGUGACAGGGAACCCUACCUGAAAAAAUAUCUCUCAGCUAAGAAAGAUACAUCUAUACAUAAACAUAAGUAGGCAUGGGUUCUUAUGCUUUCAAAAGGACACAGACGGAGUUAAUUUAAUUGGCAAAGUCGUCUAUUUGCAUAACAGUUGGCAAGCUCGUCUACUUGCAUAACAGUAGACUUUGUUAAUUAGACCACCAAAUAUGUGAUCUACAGCAAACCUCCUUCGGAAGUCAUCUACUGAGAAAAUGAAAGGCGAAGAGAGACAAAGAAGACCGUUUACUUAAUAAAUGUGAUGAUGUAUGUUGGUACUAUAAAUCAACUUUCUGUCAAUUGAAACUACUUGUUUCACAAUGACUUUUACCAACUUUCUGACUAUCCAAACAACAUGACCGGCAAUCAAGCUCUCUAUUUCCCAUUUCGUAUCGAAGAAUUGAUCAUCUUCCAACAUCUAAAGCAUCAAUAUUAUGUGUUUUUGGGGUUUCGUUUCUUUUAUUUUCUUUGCAGACUUGGUUGAAUGAUCAAUAGACGUUUUUAUUGACAGAAGAUAGAGAGCACAACUGAGCAUACACUGAGGAAAAGCUUGUGUUUGAGCAGUUUUGUGCUCUCUUUUCUUCUGUCAAUGCAACUUUCAUUGAUGCGUUCUGCUAUCUCUCUAUCUUGAACACUAAGGUAAGGCAUAUAUGCAUAUGAAAAAUUAUGUCGUAUUAGCUUUUUCUUCUCUCUUCUGACGUCCACCAUGAAGAUUUCCUGCUGAACAGGUUCAUCAAGAUCCACUUGUCAAUGGAGAUAAAAGGGAUGAUACUAGCAAUAUCUUCAUGCAACUUAUGAUGGUUUCAAGUAUCAUAAAGAGCAACUUGACUAAAGUUCACCAUGUACGAAGUUCUGUUUCUUUCUUUCAUGAAAAAAUCUAUAGCACUUGAUAAAAAAAGACAAUUUUUGCAAAAUUACAGAAGAAACUGUGCUGAAAUGGUCAAAAAGUUUUAACCCUUUUUCAACUACUUUCACGUAAGAGUUACUUUUUAUCUUUUCAAAUGAAAAUCUUAAAUUAGUUGCUAUCUAAUAGAACAAGAAAAAGGAAUUGGCUGAAACAGUUCUAAAAUGAUUAUAUCUAUGUUGCAGGAUCAAGCUCAAGGUCUAUUCCUUUCAUUCUUAAUUAAGAGAAAAAGAUGUCUAAAACAGAGUUCUCCUUUACUCUGUACACACUCCAAAUUUGUCAAAGAAACUAAAUUAAUACAAGUUGAUUAAUCUAAUCUGCACAAUCGACGUGGUCUUAAUUAAUUCUUUUUUCAAUAGUUACAAAAUCUCCAUUGGCCCCACUUUCCAUUUGAGAUCAGAGAACCAAUCCAUUUUUAACAAUGCUUAAUAUUCUAUAACCUAAACAAGGAUAUAUAAAUCCCUCAUAACUCGAGAAAGUGGAAAUGGUUGAACAGUGAAUGCAUGCAUAAUGCAUAGAAGUGCUUAGGCUAUUCAAAUAAUACAUUAAUAUGGACCACUAUAUAUAAACAUACUGUUCACUAGCAUUUCCAUAUUUUAUAAUAAGUAUACAAAUUGAUUCAAUGAACUAAUAGGAUUUAGGAUGAACCUUAUUCUCAUUUACAUGUUUCAAUACCACUAGUAGACAAAUCCUGCUUGUCCUAGUUUUUCUUUCUUUACACUUUUUUUUUUUGUUUUUUUGGGGGGACAUAACUCCCAUGCUUCUUCGAAAGCCUAACGCAGAAUAAAUGUGAUAUUUGAUGGUUGGAACCCAAAUUACAAUUUAAUAAUUGUUUCUCAUACAAAAUACUUUCUAUCCAUUAUCCCUUUUUUUUUGUCAAAAA